rnacentral:lncRNA from 1 species
UCCAUCGAUAGGCCAUCUUGGGGCUGGGACUUAAGGUCACAUAGCAAACUCCCAGAACUGAAUUGAGAGAGCAAAGUUAACGGCACUGUCUUUGCAACACUCCUGCCUUUUCACAUCAUGGGUGUCAAGGAAUUUUCAGAACUAAUGUCCUCAGGUAAGAGGGACAGUGACACCCAGCUAUUGACACUGCACAUUUUUAUUAGCCAGGGUACAGGAAGCAGUGGGGUCUGCGUUAAACUGACCCAGUGUUGUCCAUAGAAGGAGCAGCUGCUCCCAUCCCUGUGCAAUAUGACCACUUGGGAAAUCAGUGAUAUAUCCCUUUUAUUCCCCUCUAAGAGAAACCAGAAAUGUGCAUCCCUUUUAGUCUGGGAUAGAAAUCUUCUGGUUUUAAAGUGCUGACAAUACAUUUUAUUUACACAAACCCCGGACAAGCUAAAGGAAAUAGAUCUCCCAAGAAGACACAGGAGGAUGGCCACGGGGUAGCUUCUAGGCGAGUGUCUUCUAGGAGUGUCCAGAUGGAACUGAGGCCACAGUCCUUCCAUUUCCUGGGCUUCUAAUGGAUCACUGUGUUCGGCAAGAUGAGCAGAACACUAGACUCCUAAUCUGUGAUGGAGUCUUUUUCCCAGAAAGUUGAGCCAGUGACCCUCAGAGGAUGCCCAUCUGGAGGGACAAGAAGGACAUUUCUCUGGAACGGCAUACAGCCCAUGAAUCCAUGGUACGUCAGCCAUGAUGUCCUCCGGGACCACUGAGCCAGGCUGUGGGAGGGCAUGCUGUGACAGCUGCCACAGCUCAGCUCUAGGGUGCUGGCUGCUGCCAUUUGCUGAGCAGAUGUCCCCACCUCCCAUCCCAUCUCUUCCCACAGGUAAAGAUCUCCUUUGCACCUGGUGUGGGGUGGAAGGAUGGGAGGUUCCCACUCAAACCUCAGUCGUGGCCAAGUCAUUGUUUCCCAGCCUUCUAGAGACCAAAGCCAGGGACAGUGUAGGGCAUUUCUGCCUUUUAGUCACUAGCUAAUGACCAGAGAUAGAAACCAUAGGAGAGGCUUAGCCCCAAAAGGCAGAUUGUCUUCAUAGGAAGACUCUAGCCUCUCCUGCUACUUGUAUAUAUUUCAUACCAGAUCUGUGUCUUAUUAGAUGCCAGAUGAUUUUUUCAAAGAAAUUUCUUUUCUGCGCCUCUGUGCGUGCGUGUGUGUGUGUGUGUGUGUGUGUGUGUGUGUGUGUGUGUGUAGGGGGUGGGGGUGUCAUAUCAUUUUACUCAGAGGCUUGGGGGUCAGGAGAGCUGAAGAGAUCCACACAACCUUCUGUCCUCUGUCAAGCAGGUCUUCCUACCUCCCUCACUGCAAGAAGCCCAAAGCAAUUUCUUGGAAGGAAAUGUUUUCUGCAUCAGUCACCUAUUGUCAGGAAAAUGCUGUGUAACAAACCUCCCCAGGCCUCGGUAAUGUAAAGCAAGAAGUAUUUCUUCAGCUCAGUAGUCUGGUGGGAGUCCAGCUGGGCUAGGGUAGGCUGGACUGCACCAGACUCAAAUGAUUGAGUUCAGAAAUCUGUGGUAAGCUUCCAGGUCCACUACAAGGCUCUGCCAGUGUGGGCGGGAGCCCCUGGCAUGUUUGUAAAGUGGUGAGCUAUCAGGUGGACUAGGUUGGUCUCAUUGAAGAUGGAGCCAGGCAGCUCUCGUCUUGGAGCCAUCUAACCCAGGCAUUUGUACCACGUAGCAACGGCAGUAAGUCAGACUUCUGGCUGAAGCCCAUGUGCUCACAUUCUAAUUGACAGUGUCUCAUGUCACAUUGAGCAGGAGAGGGAGGAAACACAGUGGAGUCAAGCAGCAAAGGGGACAGGGGAGGAAGGCAGAAAUUCCGAGGCCCACAAUGCAUCUGGCCACUCCAAGGACCUGGAGCUCAGAUGAAGGAAGCAUUUCAAACAAGGCCAAAGAUGCCUAGAGAAGAGGCUGGGCCCUCAACCCAUGCACGCCCUUGGAAACCCGUGGCCCCCAAGCAGCCCUUGGAAGCGCAAAUGUCUACCACUUUCAAAGCUGUGAAAAAGAUUCUCUCUGUGUUGAGGUAACAUCUUCUGGGCCAAAUGGAAUGUGGAGUAGCUGCCUAUUUAAUACAGUUGUUAGAGAAAGUCAACUCCAAGCCCUAACUUGCUAAUUUCUGCUAAACAUACAGAGUCGUCUCUGGGCUCUCUUUGCCCAUGUUGGCAGAGCUUGGUGAAUACUGCUCCUUUGUAGCAUCUCCCUUUGCUGGCUGUGUGACCUUAGCUGUGUUACCAACCCCUCUGAGUCUGCUCUGCUCUUUCAGUAAGGCAAAGGACAGAUUAUUGAUGAAGGUGAGAAGAAGUUUACAUGUGGGGAGUUUUAGCAGUGCCUGGCUUGUGGCAAAAGCUCCUUAGGCAUGCUUGCUUGUUUGCUUCAUUCAUUCAUUCAUUCAUUCAUUCAUUCAUUCAUCAUCCAUUCAAGACAAGGUCUCAGUAUGUAGCCCUGGCUAACCUGUAAUUUUCUAUGUAGACCAGGCUACCCUUGAACUUAUGAUGAUCCUCUGCUUCUGCUUGCUGAGCGAUGGAUAAGUGUUUGGCUUGCGCGUAUGACUGGGCACCAUGUCUGAGCCUGCUGCCGGCAGAGAUCAAAAUAGGGUGUCAGAUCUACCGGAAGUGGAGUUAUGGGCAGGUGUGACCCACCGCACAGGUGCUGGGAAUUCAAUCCUAGCCCUUUGUAAGAACUACCAUUGCUCUUAACCACUGAGAUACCUCUCUGGCUUUGCCUACGGUGAUAAUCAGAGAAGCACUAGGCUUCCCAUGAUGGUUGGUGAGACCCAAGUUCUAGGGUUCGUGUUUGUUUUCUGAAUGUGUUUCUUCAGAAUGGCUGAAACCAUCAAACUCUUGAGGUCUGGGAGCCCCGGAUUAAAAGCCUGUGUUCCUACUGCCGCCGCAGGUUCAUUUAAAACCAUCUGAACCUCCAGGCACAAGAGCGCUGCCUCGUGAAAGCCCCCCUCAUAGUGCACACUCAUGGGUCAGAAAUGGUGCUGUGGCAUCCACAAAGAGACCGAUUGUCAGAUUGUCAUGAGGCAUUUGUCCACAGGAUGGGAGGGAGGUGCUGUGACUGCCCCUGAUGUAAUGUUCCACGUAUGGUUGGGACUGUGCUGGGGAGAACUGUUGAAAGCAGAGUACCACUGACC